UAUUUCAGGCGGUAUACUGGUAACAGCUUAUAUGCAGAGUUUACCAGUUACUUCUUGGAAUAUA
rnacentral:pre_miRNA from 1 species